rnacentral:rRNA from 1 species
CAGAGGGAAGCGAGAUCGAGAGAUGGAGCAAAUCCCAAAAAUAAACGUCCCAGUUCGGACUGUAGUCUGCAACCCGACUACACGAAGCUGGAAUCGCUAGUAAUCGCGGAUCAGAAUGCCGCGGUGAAUACGUUCCCGGGUCUUGUACACACCGCCCGUCACACCAUGGGAGUCAGUAACGCCCGAAGUCAGUGACCUAACCGAAAGGGGGGAGCUGCCGAAGGCGGGACGGAUGACUGGGGUGAAGUCGUAACAAGGUAAC